GGGGUGUGGAGCGCCAGCGAGCCCAAGGUCUCCCUGGCGAGCAUGGCAGGACUGGAGGGCUCCAGGCAGGGCUCCUCGGCGUCCCUCGGGGCCCCGACGGAGGUGCCGGAGAUCUUCCGGUUACAAACCCGGGCAGGUGGAGCUCGUUAGCCGUGGUAGGCAAUCUGCCUAGGAGAGCAAACUCUAAACAAACCCGAGCAGGUGAGGCUCGUUAGCCGUGGGAGGCAAUUCACCUAGGAGAGCAAACUCUAUACAAACCCGGGCAGGUGGAGGUCGUUAGCCGUGGGAGGCAAUUCACCUAGGAGAGCAAACUCUAAACAAACCCGGGCAGGUGAGGCUCGUUAGCCGUGGUAGGCAGUUCACCUAGGAGAGCAAACCCCGAACAAUAAACCCGGGCAGGUGGAGGUCGUUAGCCGUGGGAGGCAAUUCACCUAGGAGAGCAAACUCUAAACAAACCCGGGCAGGUGGAGGUCGUUAGCCGUGGGAGGCAAUUCACCUAGGAGAGCAAACUCUAAACAAACCCGGGCAGGUGGAGGUCGUUAGCCGUGGUAGGCAAUUCACCUAGGAGAGCAAACUCUAAACAAACCCGGGCAGGUGGAGGUCGUUAGCCGUGGGAGGCAAUUCACCUAGGAGAGCAAACUCUAAACAAACCCGGGCAGGUGGAGGUCGUUAGCCGUGGGAGGUAAUUCACCUAGGAGAGCAAACUCUAAACAAACCCGGGCAGGUGAGGCUCGUUAGCCGUGGUAGGCAGUUCACCUAGGAGAGGAAACUCUAAACAAACCCGGGCAGGUGGGGCUCGUUAGCCGUGGUAGGCAAUUCACCUAGGAGAGCAAACUCCGAACAACAAACCCGGGCAGGUGGAGCUCGUUAGCGUGAGCAGUUCACCUAGGAGAGCAAACUCCGAGCAAAAAACCCGGGCAGGUGGAGCUCGUUAGCGUGAGCAUUUUACCUAGGAGAGCAAACUCCGAACAAUAAACCCGGGCAGGUGGAGGUCGUCAGCCGUGGUAGGCAGUUCACCUAGGAGAGCAAACUCCGAACAAUAAACCCGGCCAGGUGGAGGUCGUCAGCCGUGGUAGGCAGUUCACCUAGGAGAGCAAACUCCGAACAAUAAACCCGGGCAGGUGGAGGUCGUCAGUCGUGGUAGGCAAUCUGCCUAGGAGAGCAAACUCCGAACAAUAAACCCGGCCAGGUGGAGGUCGUCAGCCGUGGUAGGCAAUCUGCCUAGGAGAGCACACUCCGAACAAUAAACCCGGGCAGGUGGAGGUCGUCAGCCGUGGUAGGCAAUCUGCCUAGGAGAGCAAACUCCGAACAAUAAACCCGGCCAGGUGGAGGUCGUCAGCCGUGGUAGGCAAUCUGCCUAGGAGAGCACACUCCGAACAAUAAACCCGGGCAGGUGGAGGUCGUCAGCCGUGGUAGGCAAUCUGCCUAGGAGAGCAAACUCUAAACAAACCCGGGUUUGUGGUGCUCGUUAUACUGUCGUAGACAAUCCACGCGAUGGGAACACCAAAGAAAAGGAAAAUAAAAAGGAACACCAGAAAAAUGGAAAAUACAGAAACGAAACAUCAAGAAACAAAAAGAUCAUCCACCUUUAGGCCCUAACAUCGCCAAAAUUAUGGAUGGGUCUCUUCUGGGGAGAAAGCGGCUCAUCCAGACCAAAGAACAUCAACCAAAGGAUGAUAUGAAUAAAUGAAAUAAAAAAAAAGCAUAAAGAAAAACACAUCAAGGAAAGAAAAAUAUAACAAACAUCAUCCACCUUCCGGCCCUGACUAACAUCACCAAAAUUAUGGGUGGGUCUCUUCUGGGGAGAAAGCGGCUCACCCAGACCAAAGAACAUCAACAAGGGAUGAUAUAGAAAAGAACACCAAAAAAAAUGGAAAAAGAUCAGAAAAAACAUCGAAAAAGAAAAGCAACAGAAAUAAAUGAACAACAUCAAGAAAAGAGAAAUACAAAGAAGCAUCAUCCACCUUUCGGUCCCAAACAACAUCACCAAAAUUAUGGAUGGGUCUCUUCUGGGAGGAAAGCGGCUCAUCCAGACCAAGGAACAUCAACAAGAGGAUGAUAGGAAAAAAGAACAUCAAAAAGCAUCAAUAAGAAGUAAAAGAAAAAUAACAGGAAAACAUCGAAAAGGAAAACUAAAGCAAUAAAAAGAACGAAAAACACGACAUCAAGAAAAUGAAAUAAAACAAACAUCAUCCACCUUUUGGCCCUAACAACAUCUCCAAAAUUAUGGGUGGGUCUCUUCUGGGAGGAAAGCGGCUCACCCAGACCAACGAACAUCGACAAAAGGAUGAUAGGAAAAAAGAACACCAAAAAAGAACAUCAAAAAAGAAAACCAACACCGAGAAAACACA